rnacentral:rRNA from 1 species
AACGAACGCUGGCGGCAGGCUUAACACAUGCAAGUCGAGCGAGACCUUCGGGUCUAGCGGCGGACGGGUGAGUAACGCGUGGGAACGUGCCCUUCUCUACGGAAUAGCCCCGGGAAACUGGGAGUAAUACCGGAUACGCUCCCUGGGGGAAAGAGUGAUCGGAGAAGGAGCGGCCCGCGUUGGCUCAGGUAGGUGGUGGGGUAAUGGCCCACCAAGCCGACGUUGCAUAGCUGGUUUGAGAGGAUGAGCAGCCACACUGGUACUGAGACACGGCCCAGACUCCUACGGGAGGCAGCAGUGGGGAAUCUUAGACAGUGGGGGCAACCCUGAUCUAGCCAUGCCGCGUGAGUGAUGAAGGCCUUAGGGUUGUAAAGCUCUUUCAGCUGGGAAGAUAAUGACGGUACCAGCAGAAGAAGCCCCGGCUAACUCCGUG